rnacentral:tRNA from 1 species
UCCACAGUAGCUCAGUGGUAGAGCAAUCGGCUGUUAACCGAUCGGUCGUAGGCUCGAGUCCUACCUGUGGAGCCA